rnacentral:rRNA from 1 species
CGACCGCGGCUUCGGCCGCGGGAAGGGCGCACUUAUUAGGCGAAAACCAAUCGGCUUCGGCCGUUGGUGGACGACACCCGAGUAAUUGCCGCCGAUCGCACGGCCUCGAGCCGGCGACGCCUCCACUGAGUUUCUGAUCUAUCAUGCUGUCGACGGUUGGUGCUAUGCCAACCGUGGCGUUAACGGAUAACAGAGAAUCUGGGUUCGAUUCUGGAGAGGCCGCAUGAGAAACGGCGACCACUUCCAAGGAAGGCAGCAGGCACGCAAAUUACCCACUUCGGACACCGAGAGGUAGUGACGAACAAUACCGAUGCGGUGCACUUACGUGUCGCCGUAAUCGGAAUGAGUACACUUCAAAUCCUUUAACRAGGAUCCACUGGAGGGCAAGCCUGGUGCCAGCAGCCGCGGUAAUUCCAGCUCCAGCAGCGUAUAUUUAUAUUGCUGCGUUUAAAAAGCUCGUAGUUGAAGCGUCAGACGCGGGGAGGACGGACGGCCGCACUGGUCGCUUCUCGUCCGACCGA